rnacentral:lncRNA from 1 species
AGAUGACCUGCUCCCUCAGGAACAGCUGCUACCUGGUUUAUCCUGAUCCUUCUGAAGGUCAAUCAAGAAAACAUAUCAAAGGCUUGGAAAAGGCAAAAGAGAUUCCUGGGUGUCCUUUCAGAGGAAGGCUGGGUAUCAGCGAGGUGUCCUCUGAUGAUGAUCUGAUUCUUUAGGGAUUGACCCUAAGCUAACAUCUGUGCCAGUCUUCCUCUACUUUAUAUAUGGGACGCUGCCACAGCAUGGCUUGAUGAGUAGUGCGAAGGUCCGAACCAGGGAUUGGAAUCUGUGAACCCUGGACCGCCAAAGCAGAAAGCGUGAACUUAACCACUACUCCAUGGAGGGACCACCGUGCCCAGUUGGUUUAAAUCAGCGCCUCUGAGAUGGCAGCACCAGGAGACCCCUUGGGCUCCAAGCAUCCAACCCCCAUGAGACAGCGGAGCUUCAUCCUGCAAGGCACGGCACCAAGUCAAAGAACUGGGUGAGCCCCCUCACACGGAGGGCGCUGGAUAGAGACGUUUAGUGUAACCAGAAAUUCAUUCUUUCCUCCAGCAAAUGUUUAUUAAGCAUCCACUAUGUUCCAGCUGUUAGAAGCCGUGGGGUUGCAACAGACAAUAAACCAAUAUAGUCUGUGUGAGUGUGUGUGUGUGUGUGUGUGUAUGUGUGUGAGAUGUUGAAAAGUUCUCCUAGGGAGAAAAAUUAAGACGGGAAGGGGAACAAGGAAUGUGGAAAUGGUUUGCAAUUUGAAAUAGGAUGGUGCAGGAAGGCCUUCUGGGAAGGGACCUUUGAAUAGAGAUCAGAAGAUAUGGUGGGAAUAAGCCAUGAAGACAUCUGAGGGAAGAGGGUCCCAGGCAGAGGGGACAGCAAGUGCAAAUGCCCUGGGGCAAGAUUGUGCUUGUCUUGGUUCAAGGAGCAGUGAAGAAGGCAGAGAGGGGGCUGAGGCAGGGGGCCAGAUGGAGUAAGGCCUUCCAGGUCACCAGGAUGCCCCAAAGUGGAUAUAAUACAUAGUGACAAAGGUACACAAUAGGAGUGAGGCCCAGAGCCGCUAAUUAGGCAACUCUAAACUUGUGUCUCAUUACCCAACCACACCUCCUGCAGUGCACUAUGAAUUAAUAUUUUCUAUAAAUCCUGUAAUUAUCUUGUGAAUAGCACAAUUAUAUUGCAUUGUAUUUGUAUGUGUUAAAAGCGCUCAUUUGUUAAAUGUAAACAUUUGAAAUAUACCAUAUAUUAUGCAGCCC